rnacentral:rRNA from 1 species
GACGAACCGUGCGAACGUUGUUCGGAAUCACUGGGCUUAAAGGGCGCGUAGGCGGGCUGCCAAGUCUGGGAUGAAAUCCCACGGCUCAACCGUGGAACUGCCUCGGAUACUGGCGGCCUCGAGGGAGGUAGGGGCGUGCGGAACUGUGGGUGGAGCGGUGAAAUGCGUUGAUAUCCACAGGAACUCCGGUGGCGAAGGCGGCACGCUGGACCUUUUCUGACGCUGAGGCGCGAAAGCCAGGGGAGCAAACGGG